rnacentral:rRNA from 1 species
ACGGAAGGCAGCAGUGGGGAAUAUUGCACAAUGGGGGAAACCCUGAUGCAGCGACGCCGCGUGAGUGAAGAAGUAUUUCGGUAUGUAAAGCCCUAUCAGCAGGAAAGAAAAUGACGGUACCUGACUAAGAAGCCCCGGCUAACUACGUGCCAGCAGCCGCGGUAAUACGUAGGGGGCAAGCGUUAUCCGGAUUUACUGGGUGUAAAGGGAGCGUAGACGGCAUGGCAAGUCUGAAGUGAAAGCUCGGGGCUCAACCCCGGAACUGCUUUGGAAACUGUCAGGCUAGAGUACCGGAGGGGUAAGCGGAGUUCCUAGUGUAGCGGUGAAAUGCGUAGAUAUUAGGAGGAACACCAGUGGCGAAGGCGGCUUACUGGACGGUAACUGACGUUGAGGCUCGAAAGCGUGGGGAGCAAACAGGAUUAGAUACCCUGGUA